GAAACAUCUAAGUACCUGAAGGAAUGGACAUCAAUUGAGACUCCCCUAGUAGCGGCGAGCGAACGGGGACUAGCCAGCAAUCUUUAUUCAUUUCGUUAGGAGAAUGGUCUGGAAAGUCCAGCGAUAGAAGGUGAUAGCCCUGUAUCCGAAAACGAUUUGGAAGAACUAGGUUUGCAACAAGUAGGUCGGAGCACGAGAAACUUUGACUGAACAUGGGGGGGCCAUCCUCCAAGGCUAAAUACUCCCAACUGACCGAUAGUGAACUAGUACCGUGAGGGAAAGGCGAAAA
rnacentral:rRNA from 1 species